rnacentral:rRNA from 1 species
GAUGAACGCUGGCGGCGUGCCUAAUACAUGCAAGUCGAGCGAACGGACGAGAAGCUUGCUUCUCUGAUGUUAGCGGCGGACGGGUGAGUAACACGUGGAUAACCUACCUAUAAGACUGGGAUAACUUCGGGAAACCGUAGCUAAUACCGGAUAAUAUUUUGAACCGCAUGGUUCAAAAGUGAAAGACGGUCUUGCUGUCACCUAUAGAUGGAUCCGCGCUGCAUUAGCUAGUUGGUAAGGUAACGGCUUACCAAGGCAACGAUGCAUAGCCGACCUGAGAGGGUGAUCGGCCACACUGGAACUGAGACACGGUCCAGACUCCUACGGGAGGCAGCAGUAGGGAAUCUUCCGCAAUGGGCGAAAGCCUGACGGAGCAACGCCGCGUGAGUGAUGAAGGUCUUCGGAUCGUAAAACUCUGUUAUUAGUGAAGAACAUAUGUGUAAGUAACUGUGCACAUCUUGACGGUACCUAAUCAGAAAGCCACGGCUAACUACGUG